rnacentral:rRNA from 1 species
CCUACGGGGUGCAGCAGUGAGGAAUAUUGGUCAAUGGACGAGAGUCUGAACCAGCCAAGUAGCGUGAAGGAUGACUGCCCUAUGGGUUGUAAACUUCUUUUAUAUGGGAAUAAAAUGUUCCACGUGUGGGAUUUUGUAUGUACCAUAUGAAUAAGGAUCGGCUAACUCCGUGCCAGCAGCCGCGGUAAUACGGAGGAUCCGAGCGUUAUCCGGAUUUAUUGGGUUUAAAGGGAGCGUAGGUGGAUUGUUAAGUCAAUUGUGAAAGUUUGCGGCUCAACCGUAAAAUUGCAGUUGAAACUGGCAGUCUUGAGUACAGUAGAGGUGGGCGGAAUUCGUGGUGUAGCGGUGAAAUGCUUAGAUAUCACGAAGAACUCCGAUUGCGAAGGCAGUUCACUGGACUGCAACUGACACUGAGGCUCGAAAGUGUGGGUAUCAAACAGGAUUAGAUACCCCAGUAGUC